AUGCUCACUUCGGCAGCACAUAUACUAAAAUUGGAACGAUACAGAGAAGAUUAGCAUGGCCCCUGCACAAGGAUAACACACAAAUUCGUGAAGCGUUCCAUAUUUUU
rnacentral:snRNA from 1 species